AAAUUCCUAUUUGGACAUCAUUUUACCUAGGUGGUGAUUGAUUGAUGUUCAUGGGCAACUUAGAGCGACCUUUACAGAUCACUUGAUAUACAGUCGUUGAGCGAAGCUGUCACUCUGUUGGUCCAAAUUCUCUAUUCCAAACCACGACAACCAAAACUGAUCAGUUGAUGAAAUAUCAAGAUCUAGUCAACUGCCCACUUUUGUUUAUCGCAUAUCAAAAAAAAAAAAAAAAAAAAAAAAAAAAAAUAAAAAAAAUAAAAACCAAACCACGCUU
rnacentral:lncRNA from 1 species